GAUACCCUAUUAUUUUGAGUGUGAAGUUCUUAUCUUUAAUUAUUAUAAGCUAUGGCCUUUAAAGUUAAAAGAUUUGGCGGUAUUUUAGUCUGUUCAGAGGAACCUGUUUUUUGAUCGAUAGUCCACGAUUAUUCUUACUUUGACUACUAAAUUUAUAUAUCGUUGUUUAUAAAGAUUUUAGCAGAACUGUAAUUUUUAAGGUACAUUAUUUUGUCUUAUUUCAGAUCAAGGUGUAGUUUAUAUCAAAGUUAAAAUGGGUUACAUUUUGUCUAUUAUUGGUUUCUUGGCUCAAAAUUGAGGAUAAAGCGGAUUUGAUAGUAAUUAGUAAAUAUUUAUUUGAUGAUUUAGCUCUAAAAUAUGCACACAUCGCC
rnacentral:rRNA from 1 species